rnacentral:lncRNA from 1 species
CCCUAGGAGCUUAUGUAUGUGUGUAUGCAUGUUGUGGAAGUGUUGUGUUUGAAUUGAAUGGUUUGGGAGGUAAAUGUGCAUGAUUGGAGGCUGAGUUCUGCCUUUGGAAGAACUCAGGUUCGGCAGCCGAAAGGACUUUCGGCCGCCGAACCUGCCUGUGGAGGCAAGCCUUUGGCUACCGAACCCUGCCCCCGAAAGUGGACUUUCGGCUUUGGAAGGGAGUUUCGGCCGUCGAAGGUGCCG